rnacentral:rRNA from 1 species
CCUUGCGCCGGCGAUGGUUCAUCCAAAUUUCUGCCCUAUCAACUUUCGAUGGUAGGAUGAUGGCUUCCCAUGGUGUUAACGGGUAACGGAGAAUUAGGGUUGGAUUCCGGAGAGGGAGCCUGGGAAACGGUUACCACAUCCAAGGAAGGCAGCAGGCGCGCAAAUUACCCAAUCCCGACACGGGGAGGUAGUGACAAUAAAUACAGAUACAGGGUUUUUUUGGGUUUUUUAAUGGGAAGGAUACCAAUUUAAAUCCUUUAAGGGGGACCAAUGGGGGGCAAAUUUUGGGCCCGCCAGCCGCCGUAAUUCC